UACAGGGAAAGCAUUAGUGGAUCUGGACCA
rnacentral:piRNA from 1 species